GACGAACGCUGGCGGCGUGCCUAAUACAUGCAAGUCGAGCGAAGUUUUUCUGGUGCUUGCACUAGAAAAACUUAGCGGCGAACGGGUGAGUAACACGUAAAGAACCUGCCUCAUAGACUGGGACAACUAUUGGAAACGAUAGCUAAUACCGGAUAACAGCAUUAACUGCAUGGUUGAUGUUUAAAAGUUGGUUUUGCUAACACUAUGAGAUGGCUUUGCGGUGCAUUAGCUAGUUGGUGGGGUAAAGGCCUACCAAGGCGACGAUGCAUAGCCGACCUGAGAGGGUGAUCGGCCACACUGGGACUGAGACACGGCCCAGACUCCUACGGGAGGCAGCAGUAGGGAAUCUUCCGCAAUGGGCGAAAGCCUGACGGAGCAACGCCGCGUGAGUGAAGAAGGAUUUCGGUUCGUAAAGCUCUGUUGUUAGGGAAGAAUGAUUGUGUAGUAACUAUACACAGUAGAGACGGUACCUAACCAGAAAGCCACGGCUAACUACGG
rnacentral:rRNA from 1 species